rnacentral:pre_miRNA from 1 species
AGGGGGAUAGCUGGGUCAAAUGGUGGUUCCAUUCCCAGCUUUCUGAGGUAUCUCCAUACUACUUUCCAAAUUGGCCGUACCAAUUUGCAGUCCCACCAGCAAU